rfam:Mus musculus chromosome 13, GRC primary reference assembly.
AUGGAAAGAAAUUCUUAUGCCUGCCCCUUUUCCCAUGGGGACUUUGGUGUGCAAUUGUUGCAAACAGCAGCCUCCUUGGUAGUGUAUGUAGCCUAGUAUCUAUAUGGGCUGCCUCAAGGGACCUUGGAGACAAUU